UACGUAGGGGCCGAGCGUUGUCCGGAGUUAUUGGGCGUAAAGCGCGCGCAGGCGGCCUCGCGCGCCCGACGUGAAAGCCCCCGGCUUAACCGGGGAGGGUCGUUGGGGACGGCGGGGCUUGAGGGCGGGAGAGGGUGGUGGAAUUCCCGGUGUAGUGGUGAAAUGCGUAGAGAUCGGGAGGAACACCUGUGGCGAAGGCGGCCACCUGGGCCGACCCUGACGCUGAGGCGCGAAGGCGUGGGGAGCGAACGGGAUUAGAAACCCCCGUAGUCC
rnacentral:rRNA from 1 species